GGCAACCCUGACGGAGCAACGCCGCGUGCGGGAAGACGGCCUGUGGGUUGUAAACCGCUUUUCUCAGGGAAGAAGAACUGACGGUACCUGAGGAAUCAGCAUCGGCUAACUCCGUGCCAGCAGCCGCGGUAAUACGGAGGAUGCAAGCGUUAUCCGGAAUUAUUGGGCGUAAAGCGUCCGUAGGUGGUUAUUCAAGUCUGCUGUCAAAGCGUGGGGCUUAACUCCAUAGAGGCAGUGGAAACUGGUUGACUAGAGUGCGGUAGGGGUCGAGGGAAUUCCCAGUGUAGCGGUGAAAUGCGUAGAUAUUGGGAAGAACACCAGUGGCGAAAGCGCUCGACUGGGCCUGCACUGACACUGAGGGACGAAAGCUAGGGGAGCG
rnacentral:rRNA from 1 species